AAAGACUUAUUCCGAAUUCAAAAUUAUAAGUAACAUCGUUUGUGUUUUUUUAAAAAGACUUAUUCGGAAUACAAAAUUAUAAUUAACAUCGUUUGUGUUCUUUUAAAAAGACUUAUUCCGAAUUCAAAAUUAUAAGUAACAUCGUUU